rnacentral:rRNA from 1 species
GGAAGGGGUGUAUUUAUUAGAUAAAAAACCAAUGCCCUUCGGGGCUCCUUGGUGAUUCAUAAUAACUUAACGAAUCGCAUGGCCUUGCGCCGGCGAUGGUUCAUUCAAAUUUCUGCCCUAUCAACUUUCGAUGGUAGGAUAGUGGCCUACCAUGGUGGCAACGGGUAACGGGGAAUUAGGGUUCGAUUCCGGAGAGGGAGCCUGAGAAACGGCUACCACAUCCAAGGAAGGCAGCAGGCGCGCAAAUUACCCAAUCCCGAUUCGGGGAGGUAGUGACAAUAGAUACUGAUAUAGGGCUCUUUUGGGUCUUAUAAUUGGAAUGAGUACAAUCUAAAUCCCUUAACGAGGAACAAUUGGAGGGCAAGUCUGGUGCCAGCAGCCGCGGUAAUUCCAGCUCCAAUAGCGUAUAUUAAAGUUGUUGCAGUUAAAAAGCUCGUAGUUGAACCUUGGGCCCGUCCUGCCGGUCCGCCUCACCGCGAGUACUGGUCCGGAUGGGCCUUUCUUUCUGGGGAAUCCCAUGGCCUUCACUGGCUGUGGCGGGGAACCAGGACUUUUACA